UAUUAGGUUGGUGCAAAAGUAAUUGCAGGUUUUGCCUUUACUUUUAAUGGCAAAAACUGCAAUUACUUUUGCACCAACCUAAUAU
ensembl:miRNA